rnacentral:rRNA from 1 species
UGGGGUAUAUUGCACAAUGGGCGCAAGCCUGAUGCAGCCAUGCCGCGUGUAUGAAGAAGGCCUUCGGGUUGUAAAGUAUUUUCAGUCGGGAGGAAGGUGUCAAGGUUAAUAACCUUGGCAAUUGACGUUACCGACAGAAGAAGCACUGGCUAACUCCGUGCCAGCAGCCGCGGUAAUACGGAGGGUGCAAGCGUUAAUCGGAAUUACUGGGCGUAAAGCGCACGCAGGCGGUUGAUUGAGUCAGAUGUGAAAUCCCCGAGCUUAACCCGGGAAUUGCAUCUGAUACUGGUCAGCUAGAGUCUUGUAGAGGGGGGUAGAAUUCCAGGUGUAGCGGUGAAAUGCGUAGAGAUCUGGGGGAAUACCGGUGGCGAAGGCGGCCCCCUGGACAAAGACUGACGCUCAGGUGCGAAAGCGUGGGGAGCGAACAGG